rnacentral:rRNA from 1 species
GACGAACGCUGGCGGCGUGCUUUACACAUGCAAGUCGAACGGUGAAGGUGGAGCUUGCUCCGCCGGAUCAGUGGCGAACGGGUGAGUAACACGUGGGCAACCUGCCCCUAACUUUGGGAUAACUACUCGAAAGAGUAGCUAAUACCGGAUACGAAGUCUGUAGGCAUCUACGGAUUUGGAAAGUUUUUCGGUUAGGGAUGGGCCCGCGGCCUAUCAGCUUGUUGGUGAGGUAGUGGCUCACCAAGGCGACGACGGGUAGCCGGCCUGAGAGGGCGACCGGCCACACUGGGACUGAGACACGGCCCAGACUCCUACGGGAGGCAGCAGUGGGGAAGAUUGCGCAAGGGGCGAAAGCCUGACGCAGCAACGCCGCGUGCGGGAUGAAGGCCUUCGGGUUGUAAACCGCUUUCAGCAGGGAAGAAGCGAAAGUGACGGUACCUGCAGAAGAAGCACCGGCUAACUACGUGCCAGCCGCCGCCGUAA